rnacentral:rRNA from 1 species
UACGGAGGGGGCGAGCGUUGUUCGGAAUCACUGGGUGUAAAGGGUGCGUAGGCGGUCCGAUAAGUCUGAUGUGAAAGCCCCGGGCUCAACCUGGGAAUGGCAUUUGGGACUGCAAGGCUGGAGUUUGGCAGAGGAGACUGGAAUUCCUGGUGUAGCAGUGAAAUGCGUAGAUAUCAGGAGGAAUACCGAUGGCGAAGGCAGGUCUCUGGGCUAUAACUGACGCUCAUGC